AACUUUUGACAAUGGAUCUCUUGGCUCUGGCAUCGAUGAAGAACGCAGCGAAAUGCGAUAAGUAAUGUGCAUUGCAGAAUUCAGUGAAUCAUCGAAUCUUUGAACGCACAUUGCGCCCGCCAGUAUUCUGGCGGGCAUGCCUGUUCGAGCGUCAUUUCAACCCUCAAGCCCCAGCCGGCUUGGUGUUGGGGACCGGCCCCGGCCGCCCCCCAAAUGCAGUGGCGACCUCGCCGCAGCCUCCCCUGCGUAGUAGCACAACCUCGCACCGGAGCGCGGAGACGGUCACGCCGUAAAACGCCCAACUUCUCAGAGUUGACCUCGGAUCAGGUAGGAAUACCCGCUGAACUUAAGCAUAUCAAUAAGCGGAGGCU
rnacentral:misc_RNA from 1 species